rnacentral:tRNA from 2 species
GUUGCGAAGGCCGAGUGGUUAAGGCGUUGGACUCGAAAUCCAAUGGGAUCUUCCCGCGCAGGUUCGAAUCCUGCCCGCAACG